GCGUACGGCCAUAUCAGCCUGGGUACGCCCGAUCUCGUCUGAUCUCGGAAGCUAAGCAGGGUCGGGCCUGGUUAGUACUUGGAUGGGAGACCGCCUGGGAAUACCAGGUGCUGUAAGCA
rnacentral:rRNA from 1 species